UUUAUUGUUGUUGUUGUUAAUUGAUCUAGUUUCUCGCAAGAAAGCAAAUAACGCAGAUAAAUAAUUGCUUUGCCAAUAAACCUUAAAGAUCACAGUUAUUGUUAUUCUCGCAGGUAGUUUUAAAUAAUACAAGAAAAUCCAGUUCUAUAUUACUAAUUACUAAUGUUAGUAAUUAGUCUAUCGAAAACCGCAGUAAAUAAUUUCCGAUUAAAUGUACGCCACUAAGAUAAGAGAACACUCCAUAAAAGUGCGGAAGAUCACCUCGUAACUCGCACGGUCGCUCCGGUGGUUCACAUGCGAGUUCUAAACAAUCCGAGAAAUUCCUAGAAAGAGAUCCCUAUCUAGGCGAGAGGAGAGAGACUGUUGAUAUGUUUUCGGCGUGCAGUGCAGUGUCGUCUACCCUGCAGGGUCGACCCCUGCGCCCAUUCGAAACUCGUAAACAUAAUUUUUAUGCGAUGUUUGGAUUACUUUUACGCGCGGAUCAAGAGACCACGAAACGUGCAAUUAUUUUUGGGGUGCGAGGGGUGGCUGGCUUGGCUCGAACUGUUUCGUGGGAUGGGGUGGAACCGAGAGGGAGGGAUGGAUUGGAGAAGGAGGUGUGUGGGUCGGCUACCCCAAAAGUAGUUUCUGCCUGGUCGUUUGAUGGGGGUGGUGGGGCCACCACGCCCCUCAUGCUAAGCCACCCUCUUUCACGUCGUUCCGCUCUGUGUUAACGUCGCCGCUGCUACAACGCUCGAUCGCAGCUCGUUCGACGGAAAAUCUUCCGUCGCCUAAGUACCGAAAGGAAGCUCGCGUUUUUUUAAUGAAAUUCCUCCUGAACAAUAGCGGAAGGUACGAAAGUAAAAAGGUCGUUUGAAAAGGUCAAAAUGACACGGAGCUGCUGAGAAGAUCGGUAACUGAGCUAGAAAGAAGACCAGCGGGGCGACACGAGAGACUCGGUCGUCGUUCAUCGGGCGUCGCUAUUGGCAAAAUGCGACCAGGUUUGUCGGAAAGAAGACCAGUGGGACGACGCACAGGAGAUUCGGAUGUAUCCGUGUCGUGUAAAGGAAGAAGAUCGUACGGCGGAAAGAUUAUUUAGCUCAUUGGUCGAUGAUGGUCGACGGAGAAAGUAAAUUUCGUCGUGUGGUAACGAGAGACAGGGUGGAACCGUGCGCGAUCCGCGGCUCUCUCGUUCCUCGUUAACCCGUAGCGAAUAUCUUCGGUCGUUAUUAAGCUAUUAAAAAGUCUAGUUAUCGUUGUCGUGGCGUAUACAGGAGACGACUCGUCGAGGGUUCCCAAGCAGGAAUGCCGCUUCAAUAACGAAGCCGAAGCGGAGGAGUCGAGGGGCUUAAUUUGCCUCGAGACGCCGCCAUGUACGUUCUACCGAGCGCUCGCUCGUCGUAUACGUAUACAUAUAUCUUUACGUGGAUGCUUCUGCCACCUUUGUGUGCACGCCCGUACCUAUACACGCGAGCGAGCCGUCUACGCGUACUCGAGCGUGCUCAGCCGGAUCCCGCGCUUGUGUACGUUCCACGUAGAGUACAUAGCACGCCUAGACCAUUUUGCAGCAUUCCUGCCAUUCUAACAUCCGCGUUUCAUUAAAAGAUCUUGCCCGACCUCUUGGUGUACUUGCACACAGACGCACGCCCUACGGCCUAACACACCGAGAGAUGUUUGCUCGAGUCGCGGCGUCGACUAUCUAGAAAUAAGAGAGAGAAACGGACAACCGAGCAGAGCACAGAGGCCACGUAAGCGCGCCGCGGACUCCCGCUUGAGAUAUUUCUACACCGUGUAAUCAUUUUGCUUGAAUAUAUUAACGGCGUCUUUUUUUUUAACCCAGCAGAUUACUCCUAGUCGGGCUGAAAAGAAACAUAUGGCAAGCGUCGAGUUCGAAGUUCAUCGCCUCAAUUUCUGCGAAGCGACGCUUCCGAUGCUCGUUUCGCGGCUACAUUCUCCGCGAACGGCUUUAUUCGCAACGAUGAAAGAACCGCUGGUUCUUCGUUUAGAAAGUUUGGACGUUGACUUUCGAUGAUAAGAUUUCAUAGAGACGGAGCAACUGUCGUUGGUCCGAUCUGUGAAAAGUUGAAGUUGGACCCAGUCUCAAUUGCGUAUUUUUUGUAUUUUUCUUUACACUUUACGACAAACUAUCGAAUCUAUUUAUUCGUCAAGAUAUAACACAAGAUAUAACGUAGAGUAAGUCACUUUUGAAAUUCUAAUUUAAAUAUAUCCUGGAUGCUUGGGAGUCAAGGAUCGUGCAGGAUCGCGGAGAUCGAAAUGGCCCGAGUAAAUGCGCCGUUUCCACCGGUAGUUAAUUAACGACCGAGUAAGAUUCGCUGACAUUAGACGAGCCACGCCACGGAAUACGCCACGGUUAUUUGCUCCUUUCGGCUACUUUAUGGAGUGUUGAUGUAAUCGAACCGUCAACCUGAGCCGACGGAUAAGAUUUUCGAAAGAAUACGGCGGACGGCGGUGGGAGAGAAAGGGAGGAAGCGUGCAAACGCAAACGCAGCAUCGCCAGUAAUGUGGCAUAAUACCCCCGUAAGGGGGUUAAGAGUAAUUCCUGUCGGCCAGGGGGUCGUCCCUUUCGACAUUUACGACGUGUUUUACGCGAUCAAAGCGAGCCGUAACAAUUAUUGGACGAUUUCGCGGCCGUAAAAUUUUAUUCGAUCCCGCAGUCUCCGUCGGCGAUUCCACCCUCUUUUCUUUCGCAAUCACUAGAGGGGAUGUUUCGCGCUUCUUGUAUGCUUUUCCUUCUGUUCACUGUCAACCUCCGCUGUAAUACGAUAUUCCUCGUGAUUUUACAGGAUACCAUGUAACAAGAGACUCACGGUGUCCCGACAAAGAUUUAUACUUUCGAUCGUUUUCUUCGGAAUAUUUUUGUUCUCCCACCAGUUCGUAGAAUAUAAUUAGGUAGCCGCGAUGUCUAAUUGGAUAUUCUAUUUUACGCUUCGUGUUACGCGGAGAGGUCAUCGAAAAGCGAAAUUCUAGAGAUAUUUCUUGAUCAUCGUUCGACUCGCAGUAUAUGGCACGAAGCCGAGGUGGGAUCGAGGGUCGUUCGGGACACCCGGUACACCCUGGGAUUUCGCGCGUAUUGUAGGUUUGGCCGCGUUUUCUCUUGGAGUGAUUUGAUUUACGGCGGUUGGAAAAGCCGCGGCGGCGAGCGGAAAAGAGACGAGUACCCCUUCCCGCGGCGGAAGUGGCGCGAGAAAGGAAGAAAAUAAUAAAAGCAGCAAAGGGAGAGAACGAGUGGAACACAUCGAAGAUAUGGUCGAGCGAAUUCGACGCGCGGAACUCGGAAAGGAAACGACGCCUGGAUGAGAAAAAGACGGAAAACGGACGAAGGGAGAAGGGAAAAAGCAGAGGGACGAAGCGGAGCGAGGCGGAAACGGAGCCGUGACGGCGAUGGAAAAACAUCGCCACGAACGAGCGUGCGCGAGAAAUCGUUCGCACAGGAUUCUUUUUGGGAAACGGAAGCACGAAAUUGCCAAAGCGCGAAAGAAAUCGUAGAAAAGUUCUGCUUCACGAGGAACGGGAAACGAGGAGCGGACGCGCGUUCCAGCCGGAAACGCGGCGCACCCUGUCGUCUAUCCGAAACGUUAUUAUUAUCCGUGGAAAGAAAUUUAGAAUGUGGCCAGGAACUUUGGUCGCUGUGUUCGCUUCUUCCAUGCUCGAAAACACGCUCCUCGGUUUACGCCCAGUAUUAUAACACCGCAGGAUUAAAAUUAAUAUUUUACUUACUUCUUCGUCGUUGUUUCUUUUUUCCUUUUUUUAUUUUUAUUCCCCCCCCCCCUCCCGCCAUUUCUUCCGUCGUCGAAUUACGUGGAGGAAUUCGAGAUUGCGUAUCGCGGGAUGCGCCACGUUAUAUUAACAUCGCGCGCGAUAUAGCCGGUGGUAUGCAAUUUUUAAAAACCGGUUUCGGCUGGACGCCUCGUUGCAUUAACUUUUUUUUUUCUUUCACUAUAAUAUAUACAUAUAUAUUUUUUUCAACGUGUUUUCACGCGAUCGUAGUUCGUUAAAUAAAAUACGAAUUAACUAGACGACGCAUCGACUUGAUAUUUUGUGCAAGUAACGGUAAAAACUGUAAGGAAAAAACGAGGAUUCUACCUUUGAGAACGCAAAGGAAAUGGCUCAAGGACUUGUAGCAACGAUCGUCUUUCUCAGGAUCUGACAAUACGAUAAUGCUUGACACGCGACGAUGCUACCUUUCUGAAAGCACUCGAGCAGAACUAGCGUCCGUAACGAAGCGAAACACGAUAUCAACAAGGUAGAAUACCUCUUGGCUCGAUUUCUUUCGUAAAUCAGAAGAGGGCCGGAUAUUCUUACAGCUCGGUGUCGAUAUCAGAUCUCUGGGGUAACGCGCAGUCGUCUUCUUCUAGGAUCUUUCCCUUCGCACCCCUGUAGAAGCUCAGCCCCGCCGGCCGGAUUCACCCUCGAAUUAAAAGAGCAGCCAUUCCAGCCCCUUUUUCUCUUUUCCUCUUCUUACUUUUCGUCUCUUCUACCUUUUUCCGGUCUGCCAUGUCUUACGUUUGGGAUCGUUCGCGCGCGAUGCUGUGUGUAAGAACUACGAGAAGGUCGAGGGUGAGAAAAAGAGAUGGAGGAAAAAAUUGAAUGGAUUUUGGGAAUCGAUUCCUUCGGAUGCGAGCAGACGUCUGGAAGCACCGUUGAACUGGGUCAGGAUUGUGGAAUCUACUUGAUAUUAAUGUUCCCCUCCGAAUAUAAUUUUAUUUUGCUGCGAAAUAUCGUCUACGGUGAUGGUACGCAAUUGUCUGCUAAAUUUUAAACUGAACGCUCUGUCGAUAAAAUACAUCGACCGUUGUAGGUAAAUUUUUUGUACGCGUUUUACUUUGUUGGUUUACACGACCGGUUCCGUUUAUUUACAGUUUCCGGUAUUCCUUCGCAUUCUUUAUUCGUUUGAUUACACGAUAUUCUUUAAAAAAUGUAUGUUUCGCAUGUAAUACGAUACGAAACAUCAUACCAAGUGUAUGCUAACGGCGUGUAUAACGCAAAACCUAUAAAACCCACGAACGGAUUAGUGUUGCGGUAGUAUUUGUUUGCCCAUCUAGAUUUUCUAGCGAAUUCAUAUUUCAAAUAAACGCCGGUCCCCGUGUCACGUUACCAGCCCUGAUAGAAUCGAUAGGGUCGUUAUUCAAGUUCCGAUUAUACUCCCACCACCAGCCAUACUUUAUUAAUUACAAUUACUUCCAUGUUUGCGAAGGUAAAAUUUGCGAGUUUGGCUCAUGUAUUUUGCCACCAUACAAAUUAGCGUCAACUAAUCACAA